rnacentral:lncRNA from 1 species
GAUGUAUAAAUAGUAUUUUUCAAAAAAGUUUGGAAUAAUUGACUAUAUAUCUCUUAUGACUUUUGAAAUAUCUUAUUUAUUAUUUAUUAUUUAUUUUAGAUAUAUCACUCAUAUAAUUUUUCGUUAUUUAAAAAUAUCCCUGUCGUUAGUAUCCGUUAAGUCAUGUCGAGUUAAAUUUCUACCAUAGUUAAAAAUAAUAGUUAAAAUAUCUAUUUUGUCUCUAAUUUAAUGGCAAAUAAGAAAAAUUUGGGUGAUGGUAGAAUGAUAUAUUUGAAAAGUCAAAAAAUCAAAAUACUUCUUUUACCCAAAACUUAAGGAUAAAUAAGAAAAAUUGAUAAUAAUAGAAUGAUAUAUUUUAAAGGGCAAAUUGAUAAUUUUACAGAGAUAACGGCUGUUUCUAAUUAUUUACUAACAUAAUUUAACUCUAAAAAUAUAUUUAAAAAAUUUUGGAAUAUUAAAAAGAUAUUUAUAAUAUUAGACUUCUAAAAUUUAUAUAAGAAAGUCGAAAAUUUUUAAAAGUAUAUAAGUAAUUG